rnacentral:rRNA from 1 species
UACAGAGGGGCCAGCGUUAUUCGGAAUUAUUGGGCGUAAAGGGCGCGUAGGCGGCCAUGCGUGUCUUCCGUGAAAUCCCUCGGCUUAACUGAGGACGUGCGGAAGAAACUGCAAGGCUUGAGUCCGGGAGAGGGGGGUGGAAUUCCCAGUGUAGCGGUGAAAUGCGUAGAUAUUGGGAGGAACACCGGUGGCGAAGGCGGCCCCUGGACCGGUACUGACGCUGAGGCGCGAAAGCGUGGGUAGCAAACGGG